AUAGAAAACUAGAGCGUGACUGCCACAUUUGAAUAUGAAAUAGCCAAAGAUUUCUGUUUCAGACACCUUAUACAUUGUGCAAACAAAGCCACCAAUUCCAGGGAAAAAAGACGAGUGAAUUUAAAGCAGGUCUUUGUCGUUGUUUAUAACUGCGUUGUCUUUGUUCCCAUUUUUCCUCUGCAGGCAAAAGAAUGGGCUGUAAUAUUAUGACUUGUGCUGGUUCCCCAGCGCUU
ensembl:lncRNA